rnacentral:piRNA from 1 species
UAGAAAGGCAUGGCAGUGCCCUAGUUCCA